rnacentral:lncRNA from 1 species
AUCAUUUAGAAUCGGGUCUUCGCUUACACUGGUAUUUUCAAGAGGACUGAAACUAUCUAUCGAUUGACUUAGCCUACACCUGUAUCCUAAUUCCACAUUGGAUAAGAUCGAAUUGAACCGCCGUUUUUCCAUAGAACUUUCUUUCUUGCUGCUAUUUACAUUUAAAUAAAUAGAUGAAUAGUCAUUCGAUGAAAAAUCAUUGAAAUAUUUCAUUUCCUCUCUAUAUAAGUAUAUAGAUCCGAUUACUAGGAUUAUUAUAGGAUUAUUAACUAAUAGGGGGGGUAUUAAAAAAAACGCUUAUCUUUUGCUUUUUUUGUAAGAACCUGGAGUAUCGCUUCACACUAUCAGUUUGCUGGAACCUCAUCUCCAUAGACAUCACAAACUUCAUCAUAAGCUCCUCUAAAUUUGACUUCUUUUCUGGUAGAGGAGGAGCUUGUGCAGGCCAAGCUGAAUGUUGCUGCGGCUGCUGAUGAAGUCUCUGAAAACCAGGUGGACCCUGAGCGUUAUUGUUCCUCCAACUGAAGUUGGGAUGAUUGCGCCACCCAGGGUUGUAUGUAUUGCUGUAAGGAUCGUUCUGCUGCCUUGGGGCAUUCCCCAUAUAAUCAACAUGUUCAACAUCAGAAGACAUAGCGGAAUUAGAUGGAAAAGUAGUAGAGGAUGAAACAAACAUACCUCCCGCAGUACAGUUCGCACUGUAAUGAGGGCCACCAUAAAACUCACAGCCAACGUUCGCUGCAUGAACCAGCAUCUGGAGUUGGUCGAUCUUCUUGGCUAGAAGCUCCACUUGAGCUGCCAAGGUUGCUGUAGAGUCCACUUGGUUGACCACUCCCUGUCUUCCUGGUCGGCUCCUAGAGGAUUGCCACUGAUAGUUGUUCAUGGCCAUUUCCUCUAUCAGGUUCUGAGCCUGCUCGGGCGUCUUACUAUUUAGCGCCCCACCUGCUGCAGCAUCCACCAUCUGCCUCAUUGCAAGGUUCAACCCGCUGUAGAAGGUCUGAACCUGCAUCCACACUGGCAAUCCGUGAUGUGGGCAGCAUCUCAAAAGAUCUUUAAAUCUCUCCUAUGCAUUGUACAGGCUUUCAUCAUCAAACUGCACAAAAGAAAAGAUUGCAGCCAUCUCUUUGCUCUAUCCCUCAAGGAAAAUGGAAACAAUCUCAGCCGAAUGGCAUCAUCAGUUGUUCCAUUUAUCUUGAAUGUGUCACAAAUCUCCAAAAAGUUAGAGAUAUGUGCAUUGGGAUCCUCGCUAGGCAAUCCUCCAAAUUGCACGCUUUCCUGGAUCAUCUGGAUAACAUUGGCCUUUGUCUCAAAAUUAUUGGCUGCUACAGCAGGUCUGACUAUACUCGUUUUCGUCCCAUCUAAAGAUGGUCGAGCAAACUCGUACAUCGUCCUCUGAUCGUCAUUGGCCUGGGGGUCAUGGUUUUCCAUCGUGUCUAGUCUAUCCACAGGUACCUCAACCUCAAUCUCCUCCUCUUCUAAUUGCAACCUCUUCCUUAAGAGUUUGAGGGAUCGUUCUGGAUCGGAUAGAGGCUCUAUAAGAUUCGAGUUUGAGCUCCUGAUCAUAAACUACCUGAAACCGAAAGUCCACACAACCACCAAUCAACAAAAACAAUAUAAUAAUAAAUAAUAAAUAAAUAAAUAAUAAAUUAGUAAAUAAAUAAUGACUAAAUUAACACAAAAAUAAUUCACUCUAGUUCACCGUUACUGUGUUCCCCGGCAACGGCGCCAAAAAACUUGAUGGGCUCUUUAUGCAACCUACACCUAAGGCAGUGAACCUACCGAUGCAGCCUAGCACUAGUGAGUAUCAAGGUCGUAUCCCUGGAGAUCGGGUGAACCUAGAGUUACUACUGCUUGCUAUGUUAUCUAGUCUGAAAUAGGGUGUGAAAGUUCUAACAUACCAGCUAAUGGUUAUGAGUGCAAUUAAGUAAAUGAAGGACAACGAACAAUCAAAAGACAAUUGCAAAGAGAGAAACAAACCCAAAAGGGAGCCUAAGUGAUGGAAUUCUAAAGAUGGAUUUUAUGGAUUGCCGAUCUUGCUUACCCGUGCCUAAAUCCUGAAUUGAAUCCCGGUUCCUCUCUCGAGCUUACCGAAUUCCUAAACCUGCACUAACCUAAUGGAAUCUCUUCCUAUCGGAUUACUACAGAUUAGCAUUAAGUAUGAUUUAAAACUAUUAAGAGUUAUUAAUUCUUAAUCUGGCGAGUAAAUUAUUAAAAGUUAUUAUUAAGAGUUGAUUCAGCAUGGCCAGAGUCCAGGCUGUGAUGAUUCAGCACGGCCGGAGUCCGGGCAGUGCUGAAUCUGUGGAGUCUAUUGUGCUGACUCCUUCCAAGCCGUGCCCAAGCCGGUACUGAGCCACCACAGACCGUGCUGGAGGCCGUGGUGGCUACGGAAGUCGUGCUGAAAUGGCACAAUUGGGGAUAGCCUCUUGGUAAUUCAGCACGGCCGGAGUCCAGGUCGUGCUCAACCCUCGGGGUGCUAGUUCUCACCCAAUUUGAUGGAUUUUGGUCCGUAAUCACACGUAUUUCCCUCGAUUAUUGAUGGUGUCCUUCGAAAAUGACCUGAAACGAGAAAGGAAACAAAAGACAGGUGAUUCUAGCAUAAAACGGGAUAAUCAUGCAUAAAAAUGUAAACAAUCGGGCAUGAAAACAUGUGUAGUAUGAUGCUUAUCAUUAAUUUAGACAUUUUUUUAAUUUAUUUAUGUUUUGUUUGUACAUAUUUAUUUAGUUGAGGUUAUAAUUCAGGUAGUGGAUGAUAAGGGGGUUCAAUGCUAAACUCUUUGUAUGACACGUUGGAAAAUGGGAUCAGGAACCAAGAGAGUGCUAAAAAUUGGGAUACCCGUGCAUCUUUAGAAGCUCGAGUGGAAUCAUUUCGCAAGGCUACCGAUUGAUGUGCGUAGAAUACACACAUCAAAAUAGGGUUUUUAAGGUUGAUUUUAUGUAUAUUUGGAUGUGAAUUGGUCCCAACACUCACCCUAUGCGUUUGUUUGUGUGCUUUAGGUCCAAAAGAAGUCAAAGAGUGAUAAAGGGAAUAAUUGGAGCAGAAUUAGACGUCAAAGUUGCCGAAAUAAGUCGAGUUCAUGCAUCCCUAAUCUGAACAUGGUCGUGUUGGUUUUAACACUGGCCGUGUUGGGUGCAUUCGACAUCAAAGAAGAAGAGGCGUUAGGGAGCACGACCACAGAGACUAACACGGGCAUUAGCACGGGGUCGUGUUCCAAACACGCCCAUCAACACCAGCCCGUGUUUCAAACACACCCAUCAACACGGCCAUGUUCGCAGCGACAGGAGGAAUUAAUUAAAAGAAGAAAGAGAGAAAAAAAAAAGACGGCGGGGAGAACGUCCCAAACCCUAAUUUUUCUCUCCCUAAGGGUUUUCUAAGCUGAAACCAAGGAAAGAGGAGACUUGGACCAAGGUUUCAAUUGGAUUCCCUUCAAAGAUUGAAGAUUGGGUGAGGUUCGUUGAUUGAUUUCAAUUUGAACAAGAGGAACAAGGAUCGAUUCAAGAUUGAGCAAGAGGAAUUGGGGUUGUUUACUCUUAUCCAAGGGUGUAAUCGGGUUUCUCUACCUUUACUCUUUGUUGUAAUUGAAUUCUUGUAGGUUUUGAUAAUGAACAUGUUUAGCUAGAUUGAUUAAAUCCAUUGGGAUUUCUUUACUAUGUUGGCUUAAUAUUUUAUUGUUGGAUUGUUUGAGUUGGUUUUAUAUUCUUCUUGCUUUCAGUAUUAAUAAGAUAUUGCAUUAUUCAUGAGACAUUGUGAAUUGUGGUGUUUAGAUUGGUUUAUGUGAUUGAGAAGUCCAUUUGGCAAUUGGAAUUUUGAAUAGCAAGAACUGGUUAAUAAUCACUUAGAGAUAAGGAUAAUUAACUAGCCGGAUUAAGAAUUAACAAAGGUUAAUAGAGGCGGAUUAAAGCUUAAUGCUAAUUUAAAAAUCAAUCGUUAGGAAGAGAUUCCAACUUUAGGUUAUUAAGUUUAGGAAUUCGAUUAUCUCGAGAGAGAAACCAAAUUCAGUUAAGAAUUCAUCCACGGGUAGCAUAAUUAGAGUCACCAAUCCUUUAUCUUUUGUUUGAUUGCCAACUAGUUUAGGUUCCCUUUGAGUUUGCUUUCUUGUCUGGGUUAUUUCAUUUAUCCAUUUACUCCUGCAUCUCCCUUAGAACUUAGCUUGUAGCUAUUAGUUUGUUUAGAAAUUAUUCAUCAUUCAUUUUAGGUUAAUAUAACAAAGAACAGAGGAGUAGCUCUUGGCUUUCACUUUCCCGAGGAAUACGACCUUGAUACUCGCCAUUAGUGCUAGACUGCAUCAAUAGGUACACUGCCUUAGAUUGUAGCUAACGCAAUAGCAAACAUCAUCAUGCUUAAUGCUAAUUUGUAAUAAUCUGAUAGGAAGAGAUUCCAUUAGGUUAGUGUAGGUUUAGGAACUUGGUGAGCUCGAGAGAGGAGCCGAAUUUGACUCAAGAUUUAGGCACGGGUAGCAAGAUUGGUAAUUUAUAAAAUCAACCUUAGAAUUCCAUCACUUAGGUCCCCUUUGGGUUUGCUUCUUUUGUUGUGAUUGUCUUUCAAUUGUCAGUUGCUAUUUAUUCCUUUAUUUGCAUUCAUAAUCAUCAGUUAAUUAAUUUAGACUUAUCACACUCUAUUUUAGACUAGAUAACAUAGUGAACAAUAGUAACUCUAGGUUCACCCGAUCUCUAGGGAUACGACCUUGAUACGCACUAGUGCUAGGCCGCAUCGGUAGGUUCACUGCCUUAGGUGUAGGUUGCAUAAGUAGCCCAACAAGUUUUUGGCACCGUUGCCGAGGAAUAAGUAACGGUGAACUAGAUUGAAUUAUUUUUGUGUUAAUUUAGUCAUUAUCUAUUUAUUUAUUUAUUCUGUAAUCUUUAUUUUAUUGUUAUAGUUGAUUGGUGGUUGUUUGGUUGUCGGUUUCAGGUAGUUUAUGACUAGGAGCUCUAACCCUGAUCUCAUAGAACCCUUAUCUGACCUGAAGCGCUCUCUCAGAUUAUUGAGACGACGUUUGCAGGUAGUUGAGGAGGAGGACGGAGUUACAGUUCAGGUUCAACUUAGAAAUGACAAAUCUUCUUUUGUGCAGUUUGAUAAUGAAAACAUGUACGAUGCAUGGGAGAGAUUUAAGGACCUUUUAAGAUGCUGCCCAUAUCACAGAUUGCCAGUGUGGAUGCAGGUUCAAACCUUCUACAACGGAUUGAACCUUACGAUGAUGCAGAUGGUGGAUGCUGCAGCAUCUAGGGCGCUAAACAGUAAGACGCCCGAGCAGGCUCAAAGUUUGAUAGAGGAAAUGGCCAUGAAAAAUUAUCAGUGGCAAUCCUCUAGGAGCCAACCAGGAAGACAAGGAGUGGUUAACCAAAUAGAUUCUACAGCAGCCUUGGCAGCUCAGGUGGAGCUUAUGACCAAGAAAAUUAACCAACUCUAGAUGCCGGUUCAUGCAGCAAACGUUGGCUGCGAGUUUUGUGGUGGCCCGCACUACAGUGCAAACUGUACUGCGGGAGGUAUGUUUGCUUCAUCUUCCUCUACUUUUCCAUUUGUUUCUGUUGUGUCUUUUGAUGUUGAGUAGGUUGACUAUAUGAGGAAUGCCCUAAGGCAGCAGAAUGAUCCUUACAGCAACACAUACAACCCUAGGUGGCGCAAUCAUCCUAACUUCAGUUGGAGGAAGAAUAAUGCUCAGGGUCCACCUGGUUUUCAGAGACUUCAUAGCAGCCGCAGCAACAGCCAGCUGAGCCUGCACAAGCUCCUCCUCCACCAGAAAAGAAGUCAAAUUUAGAGGAGCUUAUGAUGAAGUUUGUAAUGUCUACGGAGAUAAAGUUCCAGCAAACUGAUAGUACACUUAGGAACCAGCAGGCCUCGAUUCAGAACUUGGAGACCCAUAUUGGCCAAAUCUCUAAGACUUUGUCUGAGAGGCAACAAGGAGCGCUCCCUAGCACCACUGAGUCUAACCCGAGGGAGCACGUGAACGCCAUCACUUUGCGUUCAGAUAAGUUAGUUUUAGCUCCUUCUAAGCAUGUUUUUGACGACUCCACUAUUGAUGUUUAGGUUGAGGCGAGCAGCAAGGUUAGGAAACCUAAUGGACAAAAGGUGAAAUCAAUUCCAGUCAGGGAAUAUCAACCUAAGAUUCCUUAUCCUACUAGAGGAAAACAAGCAGAGGUGCAAGAGCAGUUCAGUAAGUUUUUAGAUAUUUUUAGACAACUGCAUAUUAACUUACCCUUUAUUGAUGCAUUAGAGCAGAUGCCGAAGUAUGCCAAGUUCUUAAAGGACAUACUUAGCAGAAAAAGGAAGUUGGAGGAGGUAGCUUAUGUUC